CCCUUUUUGCUUGACUUUCUUCACUUGAUCCGCCUUCUUCACAUAUUUGAUCUUUGUUCUUCAUAUACUCUUCAUCACUGCUACUUGGCAUGCUUAAAAACGAAGCUUUUGGGUUAAAAAUAUAUAAGUCGUUUCGAGUUAAAAAAUUAUGAGCCCUUUACAUGGUUAAAAAUGAGCUUUAUUUUCAAAUAUGUAACAGCAGGAUUAUUGAAAUAUGAUUGACAAUUGUCUCCACAUGUAGUUACAUAAAAUCGUCAUUAUCGCCAAAUUGGUUGCAUCUUGAUUUGAAACUGGUUUGAACCUAUUUAAUCUUGUUUCACCAAACUUUUGGACCUUUGAACAGUAAGCUCUAAUACCAUUUGUUGGGUUCGAAAUCGAGAGGGCAUCAUGCGGAAGCUUAAAUUUUGCAAACCAUAGGACGGUAAUUUAGAUGACAAAGAAAAAUAUACUAUAAACAUAUAUAUAUUAAUAUGAUUUGGUCAAACGACCUACAUGUUAAAAUAAUAUUUAAAAAAAAGUUAAAACCUAUUAGGAGAAAUUUCUCUCUAAACAACUCUUUGAUGUCUA
rnacentral:lncRNA from 1 species